rnacentral:lncRNA from 1 species
AAGAAUUGAGAGAGAAGAAGAAAAGAAGAAAACGUGUAAAACAGGAAGAAGAGAACGUGUAAAAGAAUUUGACUUCUUUCAAAAAUAAAAAUGAAAAUUAAAAAUAAAAAUAAAUAAAUAUUUUUAAACUUAAAACAAAUUGAAUGUGCAAAAAAUAAUUCUUCAUAACAUACAUGAGGACUCGAACACGCGACCCAGAGAUAAACUAACGCACAACCCACG